rnacentral:rRNA from 1 species
UACGUAGGGCGCAAGCGUUGUCCGGAAUUAUUGGGCGUAAAGAGCUCGUAGGCGGCCUGUCGCGUCUGCUGUGAAAUCCCGGGGCUUAACCCCGGGCGUGCAGUGGAUACGGGCUGGCUGGAGGCAGGCAGGGGAGAACGGAAUUCCCGGUGUAGCGGUGAAAUGCGCAGAUAUCGGGAGGAACACCAGUGGCGAAAGCGGCUUCCUGGUCCAGCACCGACGUUCAGGCACGAAAGCGUGGGGAGCAAACAGG